GGAGGAGGAGGAUGGCUGCCAAGAGGGGUUUUCGCUAUACUGAAAACAUGCUUCUAGCCAUAUCCAAGAACCCAAGAACGGGCAUGAUGUCAUGGUACGACUACAAGCUACGAUGGGAGCCGAAGGAAUAUGGCGGGGUUCAAAUGUUACACGUACCCUCGGAUCACAUAUGGCGUCCCGACAUAGUACUCUACAACAAGU
rnacentral:lncRNA from 1 species